AGCCUUCUGUAUUCUCGCUGAGAUUUCGUCACAAACCAGACCACAAGGACUGACGAGAAUCCUAAGAUGAGUGAGGUG
rfam:Schistosoma mansoni strain Puerto Rico chromosome W, complete genome